GGCGAUUCUAUAACGUUGAUUGUUCGCGAUGAAGCUGAAACACUUGCACUGGAAGUUGAUUGAGCAUCGGCGUCAUAUUUACUGUUAGCACAAUUUUGGUGGGUCCAUUUGUACACGAUUUCUUUGCAUUUUUAACAAAUCUAUUUCCACUAAAUCGCCGUUUAUUUUGCCCUUGAAUUCUCUCUUGCCAUAAUAACAGUGAAACAAUUGCAGAUUAUUCGGGAAUAAGCAAAAAUUUGGUGUAAUAAAUCACAAAGAAAGACAGAGAAAAUCGCUUGUUGUGAUAUUUUUGAGAAUGAUAAAGAAGCCCACGAUGAG